GUUGGGUGACAGGCAGCUGUGGAGACAGGGUUGUUAGUUUAUGUAGGCUGCGGGCUGAGUCGACUGGAAAAUUUUGAUCACUUUAAUUUACUAUAUCCAGCGCAGCCACUCUCCCUGUCCAGUGCUUUUAUCAAGCCCGUUUCAGAUGAUGUCCAGUACAGCACGGCUGCUCCAGCCAAUAAACAAGGUGACUAACAAUGGAAGUGGGCCAGGAAUGAAGAGAGGGAGACAGGGUAUAACCUCACAACACUCAGCAGGGAGAAAAGAGUGGGGGGUGGGGUGCAACGUGUAUGAAAUACAAAUGGUUUUAUGCAUCUAUAGUCUAUUUUUGAAUAAUUAAGAUGUUGUGUAGGUCUGUGUACGUCAUUUUGAUCUGACCAUAAGAUGGUAUUAGAUUGCUUUAAACAAAUAUUUAGGGGUCUUAAAAAAUUAAAUGUUUUCUUUAGAUUCUUAGGAAUAUCAAAGUGACAUUUAACAGAUAUAACAAAUGAGUUGAUUUUUAUAUACAAAAUGGGAGAGGCAAGAUAAUGGAAAUUAUUUAUUUUCCAGAAGGAAGUUUCACAAGGUACUAUAAUGGAGUUUCCAUGUUAGAAUUAAAUGAUUUUAGGACUGAAGACAAAAAGACUAUUGAACUUUUAUGUGUGUAUGUAUAUUGGUGUACGUCUUUGUGUGUCUGUGUGUCUCCUUGAGCAAAAUUCAUUAUCACCUUUGCCCCACAGAAAAUGCAAUUAAUAGUGGAAAUAAUGAUUUUCUCCAAACUGAAAUUAGACUUUUAUUUCUUUCCCCAAUUCACGGCUUAUUGAGAACCUUCAUAUUAAAAUUGUUGUACAUUUCUAUCGAAUGCAAAUUCUUGAGUGUUUGUGUGCACAUUAGAGAAAGGAAGAGCAAGAGAGAGAGUGAGAGAGAGAGAGAGAGAGAGAGAGAGAGAGAGAGAGAGAGACAGCGAUAGGGUGAGAGAAGCACAAGGAUAGGGAGAGAGCGAAAGCAAGAGAUGGAGGGAGAGAGAGACAGAGAGAGAGACAGAGGAAGAGAGUGAAAGAAAGAGCGAGAGCUAGCGAGGGGGAGAGAGUGAGAGCAAAUCUCAGCUGAAAGAGAGGAGGUUAGUGACAGUCUGAUAAAAGAUGUCUCCAAAAUACUAAUUAAAAUUGAAUACCCCUGCAAAUGCAACGCAACAUGCAAUCUCCAGGUAAUUCAUUUAGAGCAACUAUCUCAGUGUGAAGCUUUUUUUUUUAUCACUGGUUCUUUAUUGCAAAAAAAUGCCUAUCCCUUUUUAUUUUAUUUUUCACACUUUAUCAUCUGCCGCUGUCUCUCUCAAUCCUCUUAGGAGCUCUCUUUUCUUCGCUGCCCUUGAUGUCAC
rnacentral:lncRNA from 1 species